UAAAUGAAUGGCAGUCUAGCAAAACACUAGAAAGCCAAUUAUACACCAAAAUUACGAUUUGUUUGAAACACUAAAUUUGCACCACAUAUCCCAAAUCUAAAAAAGACCAAAUAUCCCAAAUCUAAAAAAGAGAAGAAGAACUAUAGGUAUGACGGAAUCCGUAAGUAAUUGUGAGGGGUGAGAAAACGAGGACAUCGGUUUCUUACUAGUCAUGCGGGCUUAGGCUGCGCUAGCGUGGAGGCUUAUGUAAGGCUCUAUAUAGUUUGAUAUAACUAAAACAAUGAGUUACAUAAUUUAUAUAUACUCUAAUUUGUAACAUAUAUAGGCAUUGGCUGGUUGUACUGUGUGCAUAAUCAGUUUUCUUGGCAUACUGAAUUUGUACUCUUCUUUGCUUUUGUUGUACUCUUAUGUAUUCAUUACACUUUCUCUCAAAACACAAUCACUCCUCAAGAGAGAGAGAGGAAGUUCAGAUGAAAUAGGGGAUAAAGCAAGAGAUGGAAAGAGACUGGAGGAAGGAGACAAGGAGGCCGACCACCGUUGUUAGUGGGUGGCUUGGCGUUGGCAUCAUCUUCAUCCACACGCUUGGCCUGCCUGUAUUCCGACGAACCUAGGGUUCUGCUGUCACUUCCGGCGAUAGGGUCAAAUCAACCACCAAAUCCGGCGGCGGCUAGGGUUUCGUGGUGUAAGGGGUUGCUGAUGAUAUUCAGAUCCCCGACUUCCGGCGGUGGUGGAUAGGGUCAAAUAACCACCAAACCCGGCGGCGGCUAGGGUUUCGUAGAGCCAACUUGACAUUUCUGGUGAAUUCUGCAAUGGUGUGGUAAGUUUUAACUUCCAAGAGCUUGAAUUUGUAGAGCCAGUACUUAAGCCUUAGAAUUACCCCACAAGUCAAACAACCGCCAUCUGCAUUCCUCCACCUUCGACAUCUUUUACCUUUUCCAUAGCUUAACCCUCUCACUUAAACCAAAUCCAAAUUCAGCUGACUUGCAAUCAAACCCCGGUAUAGCACUUGUAUUGACAUCGAAGAUGAUCCUGAUCAGAUCGAUGCGCUCACAUUCCUAUUCAUCGUCUCCGGCGUCAGUGAUUAUUUAAAGGUGAGAUUUUGAUAUGAAAUGGAUAGUGAGGAAUCGGAUGUUAGUGGGUCUGAUGAGGAGGACACAUCGUGGAUAUCAUGGUUUUGCAACCUGCGCAGAAACGUGUUUUUCUGUGAAGUUGAUGAUAAUUACAUCCAAGAUGAGUUUAAUCUCUGGUUUGAGCAGCCAAGUCCCCUAUUAUGAGACGCUCUUGAUUUGAUCCUGGACGUUGAAUCCUCUCAUGUUACAGGAUUUUGUAAUCAUCUCCUACUCAGCGAUGGUAAUACUAUUGUGUCGAAGUUGAACGCCACUGAACGACGGCGCUCACACGGCGGUUUCCAACAGAUCGUAAGUUCGUUUAAAAUUUGAAGCUUUUGUUUUGGUUUUGGUUUAGGUUUAGAAGAGCAUUAUGAAUUCCUUUAAAAUUUGGAGCUUUUGUUACCCAUCGAGAAAAGGGUAUGGAAUUGAGAAGAGAGAUGAUAAAUUAAAUGGUAUAGGAUGCCUUUUGAUCGUGUUAAGUUUUAAUGCUUUUGCCCUUUUUCACUGCAACCAGCUAUAAAAAAAAAAGAGAGAGAUUUUCUGUUGUUUUUUAUUAUAUGCAUAACUCCUUUACAAAUGAAUAAAUAUGAAAUUUGUAAAGUCUUACAAAAUAUUAUAUACAACCAUUAUAAAAUUAUUAAGUGAUGCAGACAACUCAAACUCUUUCUCUAUAUCUUUCAUGAAAAAAGAUAGGAUGGUAUAGGUGUUGGUGUAGAGGAAAGGCUUGACUUGGAUAUCUGAGGUAAUAUACUUGAAAUUGUUGGUUAUGGUUUACUCAUGUAUGAUCUAGAACAUCUUUGUUGCAGCCUUUUUCUCCAAUAGUGGUUGCUACAAAUGAGGGUGAAUGUAUCAAGUAUGCUACCUUUAUUUGUUUUUUUGUUUCUGAUACUUGGAUUUCUUUUUUACUGUCGAAAUUUUUCUCUCUACAUUGUGUUUUAUAUAAACUGAACUAAUACGCAACUGCAGGUUUUUAUUUAACAAUAUAUGGUUUUUAAUAUUUUUUUAUUAAAUGGAGAAGCAUAUAUAACAUCUGCAUAUAUAUGGAAUAUAUCUUUUAUAUGUUCAACAAUAAAUGAGAUACUAUACAAGAACAUGAUUUGUAAGCUAAUAUUGCUAACCAAGUGCAUUUAGCUUUUUCUUACAAUGUAAGGUCCGUGCCUUUCUUUAUCGUUUUCCUUAACAUCUGAGGAUGGCAUCAACGUACGUCUCUCUAUGUAACUCAAUGACAACGGGCUUAAUGUAAAUAUAAAUCUUGCCCCCCGCCGCAUCGCGGCGGGUUACUCUUCUA